UGGGAGGAGCUGGACAGCAGAUGCGGGAGGUCUCCUCCAGCUCCUUCCCAGGCCAAUUUCAACCUUGUUUUCCAUUUCCAGCUUUGAGAGGCUUCGUGCGCAGGCGUGAUUUCAAAGUUUGUUUCCUCCCUAAUGAGACGCUGAGGUGGUGGUACCGGAAUGAGAAGGGAUCUGUGUGUACCGAGGGAUUUCUCACCCCCACGGCUGCACUGUUCAGAGACAGAGAGACAGAGGGACAGAGGAACACCUGAGCUCCGCCAGAGCCCAGCCUUCCAGCCGACUGCCGACUGCUGACGAUUGCCUCCUCCCGCUUUGUCAGUGUGUGUGAGCCAGACCCUGGUCCUGGCCCUGAGCACUCAUCAGUCAGUACAGGAAGCAGGAAAGGAGGAUGGCCUCGUGGACCUGACCUUCGGGCAGGGAUGGAGAGGGACCGCUUUCCCGGUGGCUGGUCCCAGCCCCACGGCCCUGCCUCUGUGCAGAUGGAAGCCUCCGAGGCUGUGUUCUUUUGGGAAGGAGAAGCCCCAGCUCAGACCCAACUCUGCUGCUCACUUCCCAGUGGCAGCACUAGGCGAGUCAAGUCCCCUCAGUGUCCUUUGGUGUCCUCACGGGUAAUGCAGAGCCGGCACCUUGGCAAGAGGAGCAGAGAGGUUAAAGGCAAAGUGCCCAGCGUCGGGGUGGCACACAGAGUCUGACUUGAGGAAGCCGCAAGGACAGAACGCCCGAGGCCUCUAACUGACAAGAGCGAGGUUCUUUCUCACGGGCCGGAGGCUGGGACACCCAAGGUCAGGGCUCCGGCAUCUGGGGGAGGCUUCUUGCUGCCUUGUCCCAGGGCAGCAGGGGAGAGGCAGGAGAGCGACAUGUGGCCGAGACAUGGACACUGACGGCGCCAGUUCAGCAGGAGGCCCUGGCCUCAGCUGCCCACACCGUCACAUCCCGGAGUAAGUGUGCAGCCCGUGCAUUUGGGGGGACCCAGUCAGACAAUAGCAGAGAGCGUCUGGCUCCCAGCCGCUGCAAAAUGUACCCCUGUACCCGAGGCUGGUCAGGAUUUGUCAUUUGCCCAGAAUGCAGGGACGGUACGGACAGAGCUGAGCCUGCUGCUCCCUCUCUGGAAAGUGCCCCAGGACGUGGACAGAGAGGCCACUGGUGUCCCUUCAUGCGGCUCCAUCCUUCUCCCUGCCUUGGAGCAGCCGGGCCGGCGCAGCGGACCCCACAGCUUCCUCAGGCAGGGGGCAGUCAAGACCUGGACUCGCCUGUGUCUGAGCUCUGUGUGCUCGCCCAGGGGCUUGAACUCUGGGCCAGCAGAUGCCUGGGUGCCAGAGACAUGGCUUCAGCUCUCCCCGGGAAGAGGCAGGCCCAGGCACCAACUCUUGCCCCACUGGUGCCCAGGGGGAGCUGGUUGUGGUCCUCAGGGCACAGCAGGGAAAUGAGCGCAGACAGGAGGCCCCACCGCUUCCCCCGCUUCUCUCCAGAGAGGGGAUGGCGCCCCUGGGAGGUAAGCGGAGGUGCUCAGAGCACUGCACUCUGCACCCCCAUACAGCGCAGCUCCCCGCCCCUACGACACGAGGGUGGCAGAGAAAUGUGGCGGUAACGGAAGUGAAGAGAGAAAGCGCAGCAGAGGAACAUGUGGGAGGACCAGCAGCGAGGUGUGCCAGAGCCUCCUGUGCUCCCACGCAGACCUGGGACCUCACUGUCCCCUGUCCUUUCCGACGAGGUCAGACUGGGCUCACACGCAUGUACCCCAACAUCACCCCAGCCUCUGCUUCUGCCUGAGCCCGUUUCCCAUCAGCCCGAGGCUUCCCUGCCUGCUGACCCACAUGCAGCCCUGGCAGCCGCCUCUGUUCAGCGUGGCUUCCUUGAGGAGGGAAGGCCAGGGGAUCGACCCCCUUCCAGGCAUGCUCCCAAGGGCUCAGCAGGCUUCUAGGGGCACCACCCAGGGGCCUCAGUGCCUGCUCCAGAGCUUGGUAAUGGAUGCUCCUGCCAGCCUUCUCGUGCUUCACUCCUGAUGCCCUGGGUGGGACUGCUCAACAGGAGGCCUGUGCAUGGGGACCUCUGCUCCCCCAUGGCUGCUGAGGGGGGGUCUGAUGUGUCCAGCUAGGAAGCCAGGACUUUGGGAUCUCAGAGCACUGAGCACUCACCAACAUCUCUGAAGUACUUACUCCAAACCCGUCAGGUGCGCACGAUCAUGCACAUUCUAUAGAAGGGAAACCGAGGGACAGAAUACUUACCUGAGGUCCCAAAGCAGCAGAGCGCAGGACUGAAUGACAGAGCCGGACACCGCAGCUUUCCCGAGAGCAGGCAGGAAGCAGUGGGAGGGAGGGAGGGCAAGCAGGUGUCAGGAGGGGCCAUGGAUCUCAUAUGCGCUGGAGGGGUGUGUGGGCCACGAGUGCAUGCAGGAAACCCAUGUGUGUGUUGUAUAUGUGUGCAUGUGUGAUGUGUGUGUACACACGGGUGACAGGUGUGUGUAUGUAGAAGGUGCACACAUGCAUUGUGUGUGUGCAUGUGUGCGUGCAUGUGUGCCAUGGAUACAGUGUGCUCCAGGUUCCAAAUGCACGUGUGAGUUGUACAUUGCGUGUGCACUGCUGUGUUCAUGUGCCAUGUGCAUGUAUGUUACGUGUUGUAUAUUGUGUGUGCAUAUGUUGUAAGUUACAUGUGUACUUGCAUUUUACGUGCAUAUAUGUGCCACGUUGCAUAGGGCAUGUGUUGUGUGUGCACUUGCACAUUGUGUAUUGUAUGUGUAGUGUGUUGUGUGUAUGUGUUGCACUGUACAUGUGUUCACAUGUCUUAUGUGCUCACCCAUUGCAUGUAUCUGCGGUGUGUGUCUUGUGUGCACACGUGCACGGGGGGCAGUACAAGCGUGUGGUGUGUCCUGUGAAGCACAGCGACUCAACGCAGGCAGAGCAUCACACUGCAGUGAUCACAUGCACCGAGGUGGGUGUUCAGCACCCCAGGUGGACGGAAGUGGAGAGACUCCAGCAGAGACCACCAAGCCCACUGUGCCGUGAGCUGGAUGGGGGGUCCAUGUGUGGGAGGCAGGGCCAGGAGCAGGGGAUGCUGGGCCCCUCAGAGCCUCUUUGGCAGGCAGUGCCACAGUGAGCCACCACGCCUGAGGCGACUGGUCAGGGGCGGGGAGGGGUGAGAUCCUGUUGUGGCUGUAGGUGUGGCCCAUGGCAUCAGCAGGAGCUCACAUGCGGAGCCCAGAGAGGUCACACUGUGGUCACUCACACAGGCAUGGGGCAUAGGGGGCAGGGUGGAACUUCUAGAGUACCCUGCAGCAGAAGGCCCCUGUCCCCUGACCUGCAGGCCUCUGUGCUGAGGAGCUGUCUGCUGACACUCUCUGUCUCCCCAGAACGCACUAUCAAGGCCCCAAGGGCUUCCUGACUUUUGCGUGUGGGAAUGGGCUGCAGGAAUCCAGGUUUCCAGGUCCCUGAGGCAGGAUUCUGAGGUCUGUGUUGUGACUUCCAUUUGAGCAGCUCCUGCAGGUCCUCCAAGGGUUGUGGGAAGUCCUUCUCCACCCUCGUGAUGUGUGACCGAUCACCGGGGAAACCAGACAGCAGGGAACUGGAAGAACUGUCAACAUGAAAGAAAGAGAGGAAGAAAGGAAGAGAAAAAGAAAGGAAAAGAAAAGAAAGUAAAGGCAGAUGGUGGAACACAUGACUCUGCAUCCAAGCAUGAAAUUCUCGUGUUUCCACCUCAGUCACUCAGGCUGGUAACUCAGGAAUCUCCACCCCCAUCCGACCACUGUGGUUGGAUGUCAUUUCCCCCAGGGCUCUCCUGAUGCUUCUCCUCCCACACUCAGGCUGCAUCUGGCAGCCCUGUGUGACCCCUCAGGUCCGCGGGUCCCACUGAGGGAAGCACAUGGGGCUUGUCAUUGCAUUGCUGUGCUUGGGCCGGGGCCUGGCUCAAGCAGCCUCUCCAUGGCUGGUGUCACCUCGGUGAAUGAACCCUAAAUGCACCCACACCUCUGCAGAGUGAGGAGGGUGAGGCUGGAAAUGCUCCCGAGAAGCCGUACGGGAGCGUGUUGUCCAGGAGGACUCAUUUUCCAAGGAGAUUUCACUACAGAAGCUGUCAUCUCUGACCUCAGAGGCUGACGCGAGAGGGCUCAGGAGGCACAACAGCGCGUGACGGUGCAUGCGGACGAGGGGGGGGACGGCGCUCAGAGGGGCCGCUCGCGGGCUGGGUGGGCUCGGUCGUAUCAGGUGGUGGGGUCUGCAUGGAGAACACAGCAAGCAAGGGCUGUGACAGGCAGUGGGAUCCAGGGGGCCCCUGAGGACAUGGGCGCUGCUCGACAAGAGCGGGUGGCCGAGUGAAGGCCAGGCCUGAAUGGCGUCUUCAGAGGACAGAUCCACCCAGAAAAUCUAGAGCAGAAGGUUGGCAGGUGUCAUGGCUGUGUCUUGAUGUCCCCCGAAGCCUCAUGCGGUCAUAGCUGGGGCUUUUCAGAGGUGGCUGGGUCUGGAGUGUGUGAUGCUGGGGCUGAUUCACAGUGCAGUGCCCGGUACUAGGGUUAAGGUUGAGCAGGAGGAUUGGGGUGUGAGUGCGCCCCACUCUAAGCAGCCUGGGUAAGAUGCAGGGACAGAAAGAGCUGUGGUCUUCCCUUGUUUGUUGCUUUGCUGCCUUCUUUUCACCAUGACCUGUUGCCCCUCUGCUGUGCCACCCCACCUUGGAGCAGCUGACUGUGGACUGAAACCUCUACACACUGUGGGCUAAACAACCCUUUCCCCCUUUAACUUGGGGUGUUGGGUAUUCGGUCUCAGCGACCAGAAAAGCAACUGAGGCAGCAGGUUUGGGCAAUGGAAAGUCGGUGAGGCGGCAGGUGUGUCAGGAGCUGAGCUGAUCGGGUCUGGUUCUGGUUCCAGUAUGAUGGGCGCCACAGGAGGGCAAAGGCAUGGCAGCGACAAGCGGUCCUUAGGCCCCACGCGGUCCCCUGGCUGGCGGGGGGAGGGGCCGGGCUGUGGCAGGGAGGUGAGUCAGGAGCUGUGGUGACUGGAGAGGGGAAGGUGGGCAGAUCUGCGGGCGGACGGCGGGGCCAGGUGAGCGGUGAGGAGCUGAGGCUCCUGGAGCAGCUGAGGCUCUGGGCUCCGUCUGAGAUGUGAAGAUGAAGAUGGGGCGCGGUGGAUGGGCUACGGAGCCACCUUCUCUCCGAGGGGCCGCUACACGUAUGUGUGGCUUGGUCCCCUCAGCAGCAGACUCUGCAGCAGGAGCAGGGACAUGCGUGGGCUGCUGGAAGCCAUCCCAGGCAUGGAGCAGUGGGGCAGCAGGAGGGACCACUCCAGGGUGUGUCCUGCAACUUCACUCCCUGAGGAAAGGCUCUCGCUUGCCUAGGGAAUGGGAUCCUGCAGGGAUCCAAACUCACAGUGGAUUCACUCUGGGGGAGAAGACGCGAGGUGUGCAGGCUCUCAGCCCAAGGUGGCACACCGCCCUUCUGGGUGCAGCUGGUGGACACAGCAGCUACUGGAGCCAAAAAGUGGACCCACAGGAUGCAAAGAGCCCCGUAUGAGAUGUCCGGAGAAGGAUCCAAAAGAGAUGUCUUGUAAAUAAGGGCCUGCGCUGCGUAGGUACGUUUGGUUAAUGAUGGGAUGCAUGUGUGACGUGGGGCCCUAGGGUUGUAUCUUCUAAAGGUUCGGUAGCCAUCUUGGUUGGUUCACUUACACUCUAGGAUAUAGGCAGGAAGGGGAAGUGAACUAACGAUGCAUUUCUCAGGAGGUGUAAGCCCGGCAGUAAGCAACUCGGGACUGUGGUUGGAUACAGCCUGGAGCUCAGGGAAAAGUCAGGUUGAGCUACAGUCGGAGGUGCCCCUUCAUAGAGGUGAUGCAGCUAUGAGAUGCCCACAGAGGGAAGUCCAAGGAGCACUGAGGAGAGAGUCCGAGGCUGACCUCUAGGCUUCCCCAUUCCGCAGGGGCGAGGAAGACAGAAAAUCAUCCCCAGCUCACUGGUGGGUUUGCCCAGUGUGGCUUCCACGUGGCAGUGGGGAACACCCUUGUGGAGGGGUAGAAGAGAAGUGGGAGAUGGUGUCUGAAGUUUUGGCUCCAUCUGGAGCAAACCAAGAGGCAGGAAGGAGAGGGUGGGGCCAGACAGCUGGGAAACUGAGGAGGGGAAGUGAUUCCACCAUUUUGAUUUGAUGCACACACACGUUUUGCACCUGAUGUCAUCCGUAUUUCACAGACAAGGAGUGUGACACCCAGAGAGGUGUCAUUACUCACACAUGUUCAGAUGCAUAAGCGGCAGAGAGGGGAUCUGAACCAGUUUCAUGGGGUUUUCUUUCUGAGACCACAUUGUCCUCUUAGGAGUGGCACCAGGGGGAGAAGGCACAAGGGCUGGGGUGCUCCUCUCUGUGAGAACUGGGGUUCUGGAGGGUUAGCUUUCCAUUUGAAGUUCUUUUCCAGAAUGGCAGGUAGGAAUUCAAUUUUCUGCCCUGAAGUUUCUGCGAUGGGUCUGGCAACUGGAAUGUUCUGGAAGCUGUCUGAACAGAGCAGGACGAAGAACAGGCACCCAGCAUGGGGACCCUCACAGCUGUCUCUCUGUGUCCUGCCUGCCUCCCACCUUUCAUAUUUGUCCUGCUGAAGACCUAAGCUCAGGCCCUGAGGGUCAUUUGUGACCAUGAAGUAGAUGGGUAACAAUUUGUAUAAGUUUUCCGUUUCUCUCCCUUUCCCACCACAAGCGCUGUCAGGGUAGUGCUGAGUGAUUAUUGCUGGCCCCACAAUUGCAAGUAGAAGCAAUAGGUGAAAUGGAAUUGGAGAAACAAUGUCCCUACAGAUGCAUGUCAUUAGAGGCAUGGCUGCCCAGAGAAAUUGGUACAUAUUUUGGUUUAAAUCCUUGGAAACCAAGCAAAAAUUAAGUUUAGCGAACUCAGGACCAACAACUUGGAAACCCUCUCUUUGAAGGCCAUUGCUGACAGCGGCCUCCAAAUGGCCAACAAAUGUCAGUGUAAUGUCACUGGAGCAGGACCCUGUGUCCAAGGGUGAAGUCAGCUCUGGUUGGAACUUAUUCUCAGACAUGGGAGGCCGUAAGGACGAAGGACUGACUUAACCCUGCAAAACCCUGAUAUCUUGUGCUUUUGCUUUGGUUACAGCAUGAGCAAAGAUUGGAAAAAAAAUAUCAUCCAACUUGAAAGAUAAUGCAAGAAGUAUUGAAGAGUAUGAAGAAAAUAGAAAGCAAAUAUGUGCUUGUAUUAAUCUUAUUUAAAGGUCAUUGGGUUUACUUAGGCUAAAGAAAGUCAAAUCUGAUAUGGCAGUCUAGAACAUUCUAGAAAUACAUUUAUGGAUAUAAAUGGUGUCCAUAGCAUAUUGUUGGUUUUUAAAAUAUAUGUUUAAAUUAGCAUGUAUAAUGUGAUUACACUUACUGACUGCUCUACAAUCCAUACAAAUUGAUAUUUUUAAAAAUUAGUAUAUUUUCUUUUGUAAAAGAAUAAUGAAAUUGUUCAAAAGCCUCACUCACUUAAAGUUAUACCACUGGAAA